rnacentral:rRNA from 1 species
CCAAUAGCGUAUAUUAAAGUUGUUGCAGUUAAAAAGCUCGUAGUUGAACUUCGAGGUUUACCCAUUGGUCAGGCUUAAUUGUCUGCACUGGUGAGAUGAAUCUCUACCUUCUGAGGAACUUUCAUGCCAUUUAUUUGGUGUGAUUGGAAAUCAGGACUGUUACUUUGAAAAAAUUAGAGUGUUUAAAGCAGGCUAACGUCUGAAUACAUUAGCAUGGAAUAAUGAAAUAGGACGGACUGAUUCUAUUUCGUUGGUUUCUAGGAUCACCGUAAUGAUUAAUAGGGAUAGUUGGGGGCAUUAGUAUUCAAUUGUCAGAGGUGAAAUUCUUGGAUUUAUUGAAGACUAACUACUGCGAAAGCAUUUGCCAAGGAUGUUUUCAUUAAUCAAGAACGAAAGUUAGGGGAUCGAAGACGAUCAGAUACCGUCGUAGUCUUAACCAUAAACUAUGCCGACUAGGGAUCGGACGAAGUUAAUUUUAUAAUGACGCGUUCGGCACCUUACG